GAACGCUGGCGGCCUGCCUAACACAUGCAAGUCGAACGAGACCUUCGGGUCUAGUGGCGCACGGGUGCGUAACGCGUGGGAACCUGCCCUUAGGUUCGGAAUAACUCCCCGAAAGGGGUGCUAAUACCGGAUAAUGUCUUCGGACCAAAGAUUUAUCGCCUUUGGAUGGGCCCGCGUUGGAUUAGCUAGUUGGUAGGGUAAAAGCCUACCAAGGCGACGAUCCAUAGCUGGUCUGAGAGGAUGAUCAGCCACACUGGGACUGAGACACGGCCCAGACUCCUACGGGAGGCAGCAGUGGGGAAUAUUGGACAAUGGGCGAAAGCCUGAUCCAGCAAUGCCGCGUGAGUGAUGAAGGCCUUAGGGUUGUAAAGCUCUUUUACCCGGGAUGAUAAUGACAGUACCGGGAGAAUAAGCUCCGGCUAACUCCGUG
rnacentral:rRNA from 1 species